rnacentral:misc_RNA from 1 species
GUAACAAGGUUUCCGUAGGUGAACCUGCGGAAGGAUCAUUAGUGAAUUAUAGGGCGUCUACUUGUAGAGCCUGACCUCCACUUCUAACACUGUGCACUUGAUGGCGAGGUAAUGGAACUUUCGAGUGAAACUACCUUGCGGCUUCAUUUUAAACAUUAGUCAAAGUAUGUAAUGAAAUAAAAAACAAAAAAAAACUUUCAACAACGGAUCUCUUGGCUCUCGCAUCGAUGAAGAACGCAGCGAAAUGUGAUAAGUAAUGUGAAUUGCAGAAUUCAGUGAAUCAUCGAAUCUUUGAACGCACCUUGCGCUCCCUGGUAUUCCGGGGAGCAUGCCUGUUUGAGUGUCAUGAACUCUUCAACCCACCAGUUUCUAGUAGACUGCGUUGGUGUUUGGAUUUUGAGCGUUGCUAGUCUGACUAGCUCGUUCGUAAUAUAUUAGCAUCUCUAAUUCGAAUUCGGAUUGACUCAGUGUAAUAGACUAUUCGCUGAGGACACUUUUAUUAGUGGCCGUACUAGAACCAGUAGAAGCUUCCAACUAUUGUAGUCAACUUUAAUUUAGACCUCAGAUCAGGCAGGAUUACCCGCUGAACUUAAGCAUAUCA